ACCAUUAGCCCGCAUGUUUCCUUUCAUCUUAAGUGUUUUUAUACACAUUCACUGCCAUUGAUGGCUUCAGAAGUCAAAUAACCAUGUUAACUGGGAAAUCUGGCAGUGAAUGAGUUAAGCAUUCGCUCACUGCAAUCACGCUAUCAUGACAACCUUUUUAUCCCCAACAUUUUUUUACUUUAGUGUGGGCUUUUCUGGUACAUGGCAGCCACCAAAGGGGGUCCUUGUUGAGUUGAGUCCUCGCCGGAGAAGUGGAAGUUCACAAACAGACAAAUGCAUCUGUGAUGGAUCAAGCAAUUUAAGUAUCUUGUCUGCAGUUAUUCACCUUUUUGUUUCAUGAUAAUUUGUUGGGGUUAUUUACUGCCGUACUGAGCUACUGGGUUCUGCUCAGGUGCUCCAGAAUAUGCUAAAACAUUCGCUCUAUGGCUAAUACACACCCAGAGAAUGCAUACAGUGAAUUACUGAAACGAUAAAAAAUACUCAUCAUUCACAAAAAUUCAUUUGAUUGAGGAAUUUUGUCGGCGUGAGAUGCCCCUUUCCAAAUGAGCAGAAUCAUAUUGCCAAGUUCAAGUACUUUUCGUCUUGUUGUGUCUUCAAAAUUUGCCAGGGUUAUUCAAUUAAAACUUAGUCUCCUCUGGUUGUCAAGUGCAAGCCAUUUCAUUCUAAUAAAUCGCAGGUAGGCUGUGGUCUGAUGAUUGUGAUCAUGAAGAUUAUGCCAAUACCCAGAAAAUACUGUAUGUGUGGUCAUUUACUGAAUGUAUAGAAAAGACACAAAGUUACAUGAAUUGUGAAACCAAUGCUAUGGAUAAUAGACGACUUCAUACGGCAACCUAUACUACAAACAUGGAAUGCAGAGAUUGAACUACAGACGUGCUACACAGGGCACAUUCAGUCAUUUUGCAUAUUGUUGAGCUUGACAGGAACCUUAUUUUUGUUUCACAGGAUGGAUUCAAAUUUUUCGAAAAUUCCUUCAAGAGCAGUGAAGGUUAGAUGAUAAUGUAAUUGCCACCUUUAUUGAGGAGAAGAUAUGUACCCCCUUGUAAACAUUUGUAAUUUCAUUGAGAUGGCAAGGCAAUGUUGUUGCUUCAUAUACUGUAUGUCUAGUGUGAUAUGGUUGAUUGCAAAAAAAGUAUACUAUUCAGCUUCUGUCAAAAUGAUGGGUGGGCGGAAGUGAUGUCAUCACCUGAAGUGGCGGCAUCACCAGAAGUGACGUCAUCGCCAGUUGUCGGGAUUGUACCGGAAGUGUGACCUCAUCACGUUGCGCCAGGGAAUUUACCGGAAGUGACGUCAUCGUUUGUUGCCGGAAGUGUGACCCCGUCACGUGUCGCCGGGAAUGUACCGAACGUGACGUCAUCGUCUGUUGCUGGAAGUGUGCCGGUAAAACCGGAAGUGUGUCGGAAGUUGUGUUGUUGCCGGAAGUCUUGUCUGAAAUCGGAAGUGUACCGGAAGGUUAGAAAUGUUGUGACCGGAAAUCAGUGUGGAAGGUGUGAAAUGUCCUAAACUUUCCCGGACAUGUUGAGAACAAGUUCUAGACUUGUCUCGUUCCCCCCAACCACCCACCAUAAACCCCCACCCUGGACAUGUUGAGAACAAGUUCUAGACCAGCAUAUAUGUGGCAUUAGAUCAACAUCACCUACAGAUCUAGCAAUGGUAUUAUCUACCGUUGUUUUUCAUAAUCACAUGAUGUCGGUUUACUCAGUCAUAAAUAUAUCACACAAAUACUGAGUUAUAUAACUUUGAAAGACUAAGCUCCAUCGACUCAGCACCACACCUACAGCAGACAAUUUACCAAGCAGAUCGCAAGACAGACGGAUAAGCUGGCUGAAAUCGGACCACAUCGCCCUUAAAUGAACGACCACCUAGUCGUUACAUCACACAACCGAAUCAGCAUUUGCCACAGGCCAAGGGGUACCAGGAAUAUAGCUGCACAAACAUGUGUGCCACAACGGUCCCGUAUCAGCAGACCUCAUCCUCUGCAGAACCCUGAAAUUGGUUAUAACAAUAGAAGGUCACCACAAAGCAUCGUGAAUACGGAGGAUUUACAACACAGACGAAUUGACGCCUUCAUUCGAGCUGUGGACUAAAAUCUAUGUGCACAUCAUAGAUUAUUUCUUCAACGGUAAUGUUAUUUUCUUUAAAUACAACUACAACCCAAUUCAAAUGAAGUUGGGACAUUGUGUUAAACAAAAAUAAAAAUAAUACAAUGAUUUGAAAAUCAUGUUCAACCUAUA